UACGUAGGUGGCAAGCGUUGUCCGGAAUUAUUGGGCGUAAAGCGCGCGCAGGCGGUUAUGUAAGUCUGAUGUUAAAGCCCCGGGCUCAACCUCGGUUCGCAUUGGAAACUGCGUAACUUGAGUGCAGAAGAGGAAAGUGGUAUUCCACGUGUAGCGGUGAAAUGCGUAGAGAUGUGGAGGAACGCCAGUGGGGAAGGCGACUUUCUGGGCUGUAACUGACGCUGAGGCGCGAAAGCGUGGGGAGCAAACAGG
rnacentral:rRNA from 1 species